GGGUAUAUAGCUCAGUUGGUAGAGCGCUUGCCUCACAUACACAAGGUCCUGGGUUCAAUCCCCAGCACACACA
rfam:Ictidomys tridecemlineatus contig037809, whole genome shotgun sequence.